rfam:Glossina pallidipes unplaced genomic scaffold Scaffold65, whole genome shotgun sequence.
CCUUCGAUAGCUCAGUUGGUAGAGCGGUGGACUGUAGAGGUUUGAAUUAGCGAAGAUAUCCAUAGGUCGCUGGUUCAAAUCCGGCUCGAAGGA